AUUAAUAAGCGGAGGAAAAGAAACUAACAAGGAUUCCCUCAGUAACGGCGAGUGAAGCGGGAUGAGCCCAGCACCGAAUCCUCCGCUCAGACGGGCGGCGGGAACUGUGGUGUUAAGGACAGCCUAUGGGGAUCGUUCGGGAGUCCGAGUCCUCCUGAUCGGGGCUUCACCCAGAGCGGGUGUCAGGCCUCUACGGCGCCCGGCCGGUCCUCUCAGGUCGUCCUAGGAGUCGGGUUGUUUGAGAUUGCAGCCCAAAGCGGGUGGUAAACUCCAUCUAAGGCUAAAUACAGACACGAGUCCGAUAGCGCACAAGUACCGUGAGGGAAAGUU
rnacentral:rRNA from 4 species